CCGCCCCCGGCGAGUAUCUUUGCGUUCCACGGGCCCGUCGCCGGCGGCUCCUCACCUACCUCUGGCUCCAGGGCCUCCAGCCCACCUUCCAGGCGAUGACCCAGGAGACGGACGCGCAUCUCUGCUGGCUCCAUCUGCGGCAGCUCGUCGCCCGCGGCCUGUGAAGCGACGCCCUCAGCUACCUCCGCCGCUUCUUCAACCCCGACGCGUGCACGGACGGCUACGCCCUGGACCUCGUCUGGUUCCUCAACGCGUGCCGGGUCUUGGACAACAUGGGCGGCACCGCCGCCAAGCAUGGCGCUGUGAUGACCGCCGUCUACUACCACGACGUCAGCCUAUCUACUUACCUCAGCCGCAACGCCAAGCUCGGCUCCAUCAUCAACGCCAUGGCCAGCUCUCACCAAUUCAGGCUCUCCCUGGACUGGGAGCUUGUGAGGAGAAAGGCGUCGUUGGUGGUCUACGAACUGCUUCUCCAGUCUCCAGAGUUGAGACGCCUGCUGAUACUGCCGCGGCAGACAGUGAACCCUCAACAACUGCUUCCCAUCGGCCCUCGUCGUCCAAGACGUCACGUGAGGAAACAAGCCCGGCGGCCAACAUCAACUGCCAUCGCCAGGCUCUAUCUCAACACAAAUAGGAGCCUGUUCGUUCAGAAAGCCCACAUCCUGCACUGUUGGCAGAGUCUUUGAAGAGGGUGGCAGAUCUUAUCGAUCAAUGUUUAAAAAGUGAUAAACGCCCGGAGCUCCAUCAAGGGCAAAUACUUCAGUCAAUUUGUAAGGAAGGUGCUCCUGGAGCUACACUCUUGCAAACCACGUAUGGUACCUUGACAAAUCCUGAUAACAACAUUGGGACCUCAUCGGUGACGAAUGCAGGUGCUGCUACACCCUUCACGGGACAGGCUACUAAACAUUUUUGUUUCUCUUCAGCUGCAAAUUCAGGCUGAAGCUGGAUUUGCACGGUGAACUUGACGGCCUAAUUAUGUGGGGGCAGUGCCCUUACUUCUGGUGCUCCGGUCUACGUAAAGAUGACAGAUCAAUGUUUACACUAUUAGGUUGUUUUGCUGCUAUUUGCGCUAUGUUGAAUUAUUGACUCGAGGCUUGCUAGUCCCAUAGCUAGAACAUCUAUUCUAUGUAAGCACCAACUAUUUUCGUAUGGAGUUCCUUGGAUGUCAUUUGGCCACCAAAUUUUGCAAGAAGCUACAACAUUAGGUCAUAAUCGAAGCCACAAAGUUUCGGAUUC